GGAGAGGUGCCGGAGCGGUUGAACGGGGCGGUCUCGAAAACCGUUAGGCGGGUUUCCGCCUCGGGGGUUCGAAUCCCCCCCUCUCCGCCA
rnacentral:tRNA from 1 species